CUUGCAAUCAAACUAGAAAUUUUAAAAUCUGAAAUAUUUUCCAGGCACGCAACAAGCGUUUGGUCGAAGAAAAUAAAAAUAUAAAAGAAAUGGUGGAGGAGCUAAGAAGAAUCAAUACCGAUCUUUAAAAAGGACGCGUCAACGCAAACGAACGGGAACCUAAGAAAUGAAGGAAAUGAGUAUACAGACAGAUGAUGAUGAUGAUGAGCGAAUUGGAUUUGAGGCAAUUCAGACUAAUAAAAGCAUCGCUAACUGCGAUACAAGCUGGUAUUAUUAAUGGCCGAGAGCUCUGCUUACAGGAAUCUUAAGCCCAAAGAACUGGAUGGAUUCAAUAUAAAACGUACCUUGGUAGAAAUUUGCCAAUUAGAACAUCGUAAUCGAAAAUUUAAUGAUAAAAUGGAGGAAUGAAAAUAAUUAUAAAAAAAAAACUCGGUCCUGUUAAAAUAAAAAUGUAAAUUUGUUGGUUAAGGUAUACAGCAGUUGAAUGGUAA